rnacentral:lncRNA from 1 species
AACAACAACAAGAAAAGGCUGGAGAAAACAGCGGUAAGAGCACUAUGAGAUAAAUAUGAAGACUAAAUAUACAGUUAACAACAACAACAACAAGAAAAGGCUGGAGAAAACAGAGGGUCCUGCUGGUCAUUGAGAGAAAAGGUGUGCACACAGGUUGGGCAAUAAGAGAAUCAAACAGUUCUCCACCAGCCAUUAACACCAGGGAACUGGGGACAUAAGACCUACACAAAAACACACCAUCCAUAGUACUGGGAAAUAGAUGAGUGAUAUAAAUAAUAAGGUCAAUAUAAUUUGGGAAAGAGCUCAGUAAAAGAAAAUGAGCGGAACAAGCAUUUUAGGUUUGAAGGUGAAGAAGCUGGCAAAUUGAAAUGUCAACAGACGCAUAUAAAACCCUAACAAAAGCCUCUGUAGCCAAUAGAACAAGAAAGGAGUAGACUAGCAAGGCAGAAAACUUUUGGAAAAUAACUCUUCUGCUAUAUUCAAUCUGGGAAAAAAAAAAAACACAACACUGGCUCCACCCAACGAUGAUAACAAAGGCCCAGUAAGAAACCUUGACCACCUCUAAUAUAGAACCUGAAGCUCCUACCUACCAGAAUUAUUUCAGAGGAGGCCAAGUAGAAAACCAUGUCUUUCAUCUCUACCAUCCAAUAACAAGCCUACACCUUGCAGUGUCAGUAGAGACACAUGGGGAACUGGAACUCUUAAGCUCCCAAUCCCACCAAGCAGUAAUGAAGAGCUUUCCCGCACCAUAUGUCAACAGAGCACACUGUUGUGAGGACCCCGUACCACUUCUUCUAUCCAGCGGUAACAAGGGAGAUCUUUCCCUGCUGAGGUGUUGUCACAUAAAUCCAGCUAAAACAGGUUUAAAGAACACACAGAGUCUCAUGAUACAAAACUGUCCAGAUAUCAGUUAAAAAAUACUUGUCAUACCACGAACCAAGAUCUCAAACUGAAUUUUAAAAAGGAAUUCAAAAAUGUCAUUACCAAGGUGACAGAUUUGUUAGAAUUACCUGACAAAGAUUUAAAGUUGCCAUGAUAAAAAUGCUUCAACAAUUACCAAAAAAAGCUUGAAACAAAUGAAGCAAAAGAAAACUUCAGCAAAAAAAAUCAAAUCUCAGCAAAAAACAUAAUAUAUUAAAAAAUGGAAAUUUCAGAACUAAAAAAUAUCACCUCAAUAAAAUGCUCAGUAGAUGAGAUCAACAGAAAGAUGGAAGCAAAGGGGGAAAAAUAUAAGUGAAUUGAAAAAUAAAACAAAAUACAUUACACAAUCUAAACAUAGAGAUACAAUAAACUAGAAACAUGAAAUGAACAGAACCUCAGGGACUUUAGGGAAUAUAACAAAAAACCUGACUCAGUUACCACCAGGGUCUGAGAAGGAGAGAGAAAAGCGGGUAGGACUAUAAGUAUACUAAAAUAAAACUGGCUGGAAACUUUCCAAAUUUGACACAAAAACCCCAUAAAACUACAGAUUCAAGAAUCUGAAAACUUCAUACAAGAUAAGCCCAAAGAAAUUAAUCCCAAAACACAUCAAAAUGGAACUUUUGAAAACUAAACAAGGAAAAAAAAACUCUUAAAGGCCCUUAGGGAAUGAUAUGGUUUCGCUCUGUGAUCCCACCCAAUCUCAUCUUGAAUUGUAAUCCCUAUAUGUCAAGGGAGGGACCUGGUAGGAGGUGAUUGGAUUAUGGGAGUCGUUUCCCCCAUGCUGUUCUCAUGAUAGUGAGUUCUCAUGAGAUUUGAUGGUUUAAAAGUGUUUGGCAGCUCCCCCUCCCCACCCACCACCUCACUUUCCCUCUCUCUUGCUGCCACGUAAGACAUGUCUUACUUCCCCUUCACCUUCCACCAUGAUUGUAAGUUUCUUGAGGCCUUCCUAGACAUGUGGAACUGUGAGUCAAUUAACCCUCUUUCCUUUAUAAAUUACCCAGUCUCAGGAAGUUCUGUAUAGCAGUGUGAAAACAGACUAAUACAGAAAAUUGGUACCGGUAGU